AGAGUUUGAUCCUGGCUCAGAACGAACGCUGGCGGCAUGCCUAACACAUGCAAGUCGAACGAGACCUUCGGGUCUAGUGGCGCACGGGUGCGUAACGCGUGGGAAUCUGCCCUUUGCUUCGGAAUAACAGUUAGAAAUGACUGCUAAUACCGGAUGAUGUCUUCGGACCAAAGAUUUAUCGGCAAAGGAUGAGCCCGCGUAGGAUUAGGUAGUUGGUGGGGUAAAGGCCUACCAAGCCGACGAUCCUUAGCUGGUCUGAGAGGAUGAUCAGCCACACUGGGACUGAGACACGGCCCAGACUCCUACGGGAGGCAGCAGUGGGG
rnacentral:rRNA from 1 species